UAGAUGGGAGGCAUGGUUCAUCAAUUGUCCAAUAUUACGGAAAUAUACUCGUAGGCAGUUAGAAAACGUUAAAAUUUGUGAAAACCACUUUCUACCCAGAAAAAAGACCUACUUAUUGGUAAUCAACGUGCACAGUGGUCCAUCAUUGAGGAGCUCUAUGCUACAGAUGGUGAAGCCGGACGUGCAAGAACCACAACCCUGACGGAUAAACACAUUAGACCAACUUCUUAUGACAAGAUGAA